rnacentral:rRNA from 1 species
AGAAUCAACGCUGGCGGCGUGCCUAACACAUGCAAGUCGAACGCGGUUAUCCAGCAAUGGAUGACUGAGUGGCGAACGGGUGAGUAACACGUGGGUGACCUACCUUCGAGUGGGGGAUAACGUCCCGAAAGGGACGCUAAUACCGCAUAACAUCCUGCCUUGAACAGGCGGAGAUCAAAGCCGGGGAUCGUAAGAUCUGGCGUUUGAAGAGGGCCCGCGUCCGAUUAGCUAGUUGGUGAGGUAACGGCCCACCAAGGCGACGAUC